rnacentral:rRNA from 1 species
GAUGAACGCUGGCGGCGUGCCUAAUACAUGCAAGUCGAGCGAACGGACGAGAAGCUUGCUUCUCUGAUGUUAGCGGCGGACGGGUGAGUAACACGUGGAUAACCUACCUAUAAGACUGGGAUAAAUUCGGGAAACCGGAGCUAAUACCGGAUAAUAUUUUGAACCGCAUGGUUCAAAAGUGAAAGACGGUCUUGCUGUCACUUAUAGAUGGAUCCGCGCUGCAUUAGCUAGUUGGUAAGGUAACGGCUUACCAAGGCAACGAUGCAUAGCCGACCUGAGAGGGUGAUCGGCCACACUGGAACUGAGACACGGUCCAGACUCCUACGGGAGGCAGCAGUAGGGAAUCUUCCGCAAUGGGCGCAAGCCUGACGGAGCCACGCCGCGUGAGUGAUGAAGGUCUUCGGAUUGUAAAACUCUUUUAUUAGGGAAGAACAGAUGUGUAAGUAACUGUGCACAUCUUGACGGUACCUAAUCAGAAAGCCCCGGCUAACUACGUG